UUUGUUACAAUAAAACCAAUGUGU
rnacentral:piRNA from 1 species